rnacentral:rRNA from 1 species
GACAGAGGUCCCGAGCGUUAGGCGGAAUCACUGGGCUUAAAGCGUGUGUAGGCGGACUUGUAAGUACCUUGUGAAAUCCCACGGCUUAACCGUGGAACUGCUCGGUAUACUGCGAGUCUUGAGCCACUUAGGGGCUACCGGAACAAAUGGUGGAGCGGUGAAAUGCGCAGAUAUCAGGAGGAACACCGGUGGCGAAGGCGGGUCUCUGGGCCGAUACUGACGCUGAGGAGCGAAAGCGUGGGGAGCGAACAGG